GUUAGCUAGUUAGCUUCGGCGUUUUGUAAGCUAACAUGCUAGCUACAACAACUUGAUAGCGGAAGGCAUUAGUGUUUGUCCAUCCAUGCUGAAAAAUCAGUUAAUGCUGCUGCGUGACAUUUUGUUGCUGGCAGACAGGUGCCCACACCUGUCACCACUGCUAUACCUGUGCAGACAGGGACAAUAUGGGUGUUUUAAUUAAUUAAAAUGGCACACUCUUCUAGAUAAGGUACUUAACACUAGUAAGCAAGUGAUGAAUGCUGUUAAAUUAAAACACUCUUGCUUUUCGUAGCUUAAUUAAUUAGAAACAUCUCCAAAGUAAAAGAUAGUUAAAUAGUAAACUGUUUUGACAAGCUGUCAGUUUAGAUGGAGAGGACCAAUAAACUCCAGUCCAGGUUUUCUGAGCAACACCUGCCAGUCGAGAAAUUCAAUUAAGGACUCCUCUUCCCACUUGGAGCAGGUCUCCAGGGCAGAUCUUCCGGGCGACUCGCCCUGUAAGAAAUUAGAAAAUGCUACAAUAAAACCCGAAAAACUGAAAAAAAAUGUGGCAACUUCAUUAAUAAAAGCUCUCGCGCUACCCACCGUAAACACACACGUCCCUUUAGUUGGAAGUCAGCGAAAGACAGCGAAGUACCUCAGAUCAUUCAUGGAAAGCCAUCUUCUAUAUUAAAAAUGCCACUGCUAGUACAACACAAGUGCCACUGAAGACCUCUGUGAUUCCCCCACCCCUCCGUGCCAGGACUGCUCCUUUCCCUUUGGAUCUAUUAGUUUGAAAUCGUUUGGGUGAUGACUCUUUGAAAGU